UGUGUCCGGGGAGGGAAGGGGUCUGGUCCUUGAAUUCAGGAAAGCGAGGGUGCCUUUUCAGCCGAGCGAUGGUGUGGCUUGGCUGUGGAAAAUAAACAGCAGACCUGAAGAAUCAAUUCUCUGUGGCUGUCAGAGGACUGUCAAACUCCACUCCAUGAUGGACAGUCUGGAUGUUCACAGUCUAUUUGCCUCUAGGCUGUGGAGCGGCGAGUAAGUGAACCGUGCGGGACAGAGCACAGACAAUAUGAAGAGGGAGUGCAGAGCAAUAUUUGCUGUUGCCGUGCUAGAUCAGCAUAAACGUCAAGGCCGGUCUCCUGUGGCCCGAGGAGAGUCCUGGAGGAGCUCCAGGCCUGGAUGUGGGUGUCUUGGUAUCUGAAGAGUUGAGUGUGUGCUUCUAUUUCUCAUGUGCAUAAGUGUGUGGGUGCAUGGACUGCCCAUCCGUGUGCUGGAGGCCUGCCCAGAAGCCUCCCAGGACAUUCUCUCAGAAUCUUUGCAGACUCUUGCAGCGUAAAGCAGCAGCCGUGAUGAUAAAGAGCCUGACACAAAUGAAACAUCACGGAUGAAAAGCUUUUGAUGAGCCCAUUAUGACUGUCAUUGCAAAAGUUAGAAAAAAUAGUAAAAAGAAAAGAACAAAUAUUUAUACAGUGUUUGUGAUAAUUCCCUUUUCCAGUGGGACAGUGCAUAAUGUUGAGGUUGUCUCUGCUAUAGUAAAAUAAACAAAAUCAUGUUUAGGCGUCCAUUGCUCUUUAGUCAUGGUUAAAAAAAUUUGUUCGUUUUUAAUGUUUUCCUGUUGUCCAGUAUGUUCUUGUCAUUUCCCAUAUAAUUUUAUUUUUUGUUCCGUCAGAUGUUUUUUUAUUUUAGCUAUAAAUGUUAUGUUUGUUCUUUGUUGCUCGUUUUAGUUUUCUGUUUGGGAUUUGGUUUUUGUGUUUACUUUUAUUGUUUAUAUAGGUAUCUCCCCAGUUUUAGCGGGUUACCACAAAUAAAACUUUGAUUGAUCAAUUUACAGUAAUCACUUUGGGGAGUGGUAAUCUAGUGGUUAGGGCAGUGCGCUUGGGUCCCAGAAGUUCUUAUUUCAAGCCCCACUCCCACAGACUGCCACUCCUUGCUCUCUGAGCAAAACCUUCAACCCCACACUGCUGCCCGGGUGCCGCAAAAUAGCAGCCCACUGCUCCCCAAGGGGAUGGGUUAAAUGCAGAGAGUUAAUUGUUUUUCUUUGUACUUGUGACACUGUAAUGACAAUAAAGCUCAAUUCUAUUCUAUUUUAACUUAUUUUUGAGUAAAUUGGCAAAGUACAAGGCACUAAAG